rnacentral:rRNA from 1 species
AGGACGAACGCUGGCGGCGUGCUUAACACAUGCAAGUCGAACGGAAAGGCCCUUCGGGGUACUCGAGUGGCGAACGGGUGAGUAACACGUGGGUGAUCUGCCCCGCACUUUGGGAUAAGCCUGGGAAACUGGGUCUAAUACCGAAUAGGACCAUGGCAUGCAUGUGCUGUGGUGGAAAGCUUUUGCGGUGUGGGAUGGGCCCGCGGCCUAUCAGCUUGUUGGUGGGGUUAAGGCCUACCAAGGCGACGACGGGUAGCCGGCCUGAGAGGGUGUCCGGCCACACUGGGACUGAGAUACGGCCCAGACUCCUACGGGAGGCAGCAGUGGGGAAUAUUGCACAAUGGGCGCAAGCCUGAUGCAGCGACGCCGCGUGGGGAUGACGGCCUUCGGUUGUAACCCUUUCAGUAGGGACGAAGCGCAAGUGACGGUACCUACAGAAGAAGCACCGGCCAACUACGCGCCAGCAGCCGC